CCGGGGGGCGCCUCCCCGAAAGAUCGGAGCCGGGGCGUGCGAGGGGACGCGGAAAGCGGGGCUGCCAUCCGGAUCCCUCCGGAGGGAGGCUCCAGUCAGGUGGACCCACCCCACCAAAGCGAAGCAAAGGGAGAACAAUCGCUUCCUUCUCGGGUGAAGUUUUUUUAGGAAGACCUCUUGGAAGGAAGACGCUCAAGAUAGAUCACCAGAAGGAGAUGAGCAGGAAAUUGUGAACGAUCAGAAACUAGAUAUAGCGAUGUCAGAAACAUUGGAGGAAGAAGUGGGACAGGAGACUUCUGAAUACCAGUGGAGCUCAAAGAUACACGAGGAAUACCACCUUCAGUAUAUGGCUCCGCGAAAGUGUAUUAAUUCGCCAGACAGUUUCUGUUUCAUCUGUGGUGAAUAUAC